AUACUGACCGAGAAGAGCUCACUCAGCAUAAGAGUGGGAAUGACGUUUAAGCCAAAUGAAGCAAAAAUUUGAAAUACAACCGUGCUGGCGACUGGAAACCAAUUGAAACUCGAAACGUCGAUGUCAGUAUAAUCAUUGAAGUAAAAAUAGGUUGCCAUGAAAAAUAGUACUAUACCAUUAACACCAGUGCUUGUCAUAUAGCAGCCUCUCCGUCCAAAUC